AGGGCUGUAGCUCAACUGGCCAGAGCACCGGAUUCCAAAUCCGGCGGUUGGGGGUUCAACUCCCUCCAGCCCUG
rnacentral:tRNA from 1 species